GCUUGUCUCAAAGAUUAAGCCAUGCAUGUCUCAGUACAAGCCAAAUUAAGGUGAAACCGCGAAAGGCUCAUUAAAUCAGUUAUGGUUCCUUAGGUCGUACCAACAAUUACUUGGAUAACUGUGGUAAUUCUAGAGCUAAUACAUGCAAACAGAGCUCCGACCGGAGACGGAAGGAGUGCUUUUAUUAGAUCAAAACCAAUCGGUGGCGGGUUCGCUCGUCAUCGUACAACUUGGUGACUCUGAAUAACUUUACGCUGAUCGCACGGUCAUCGCACCGGCGACGCAUCUUUCAAAUGUCUGCCUUAUCAACUGUCGAUGGUAGGUUCUGCGCCUACCAUGGUUGUAACGGGUAACGGGGAAUCAGGGUUCGAUUCCGGAGAGGGAGCCUGAGAAACGGCUACCACAUCCAAGGAAGGCAGCAGGCGCGCAAAUUACCCACUCCCGGCACGGGGAGGUAGUGACGAAAAAUAACGAUACGGGACUCAUCCGAGGCCCCGUAAUCGGAAUGAGUACACUCUAAACCCUUUAACGAGGAUCAAUUGGAGGGCAAGUCUGGUGCCAGCAGCCGCGG
rnacentral:rRNA from 1 species